rnacentral:lncRNA from 1 species
UAAGGUUCAAAAACUGCAUCAGGGUUUAGCAGGCAGUUGGUUCAGCAACAAACAAACAUGAGCAUGAAAUUCUGGACAGGAUGGUUUGAACAACAGCAUAAAGUCAUCAUCAGUUUACAGCAUGGCCAGUUAGCAUAGCAACAAGUACAAACAACAAUAUUCAACACAACUCACAUGUUUUCAUGGCAAUGGUUAGGUUUGAACAGCAGGGCAAUGGAAAUCAAUCAUAAUCAAUUGAGAUUCAGCAUAGUAGCAAAGUAUUCAUGUGUUCAUCAAACAUCCCAACAAAACAAACAACAGCACAAAACAGCAUGGAUAUUAUGAGCAAGUUUAGGAGAUUUCAAACGGUAAGGCAUAGCACAGUAUGACAGCACAUUCAUGUUUAUCAUCAUCAAAGCAUCAACCAUAAAACAAUGCAAUGUAACCUCAUCACUAAGUAAUAUCAGC